AACGAACGCUGGCGGCAGGCCUAACACAUGCAAGUCGAGCGCGCCCUUCGGGGUGAGCGGCGGACGGGGGAGUAACGCGUGGGAACGUGCCCUUCUCUGCGGAAUAGCCUCGGGAAACUGAGAGUAAUACCGCAUACGCCCUUUGGGGGAAAGAUUUAUCGGAGAAGGAUCGGCCCGCGUUGGAUUAGGUAGUUGGUGGGGUAAUGGCCCACCAAGCCGACGAUCCAUAGCUGGUUUGAGAGGAUGAUCAGCCACACUGGGACUGAGACACGGCCCAGCCUCCUACGGGAGGCAGCAGUGGGGAAUCUUAGACAAUGGGGGCAACCCUGAUCUAGCCAUGCCGCGUGAGUGAUGAAGGCCUUAGGGUUGUAAAGCUCUUUCAGCUGGGAAGAUAAUGACGGUACCAGCAGAAGAAGCCCCGGCUAACUCCGUG
rnacentral:rRNA from 1 species